rnacentral:lncRNA from 1 species
GAAAAGGACCCUUUUGCCCUAAAAACGAAGUGUUUAAGUCACUUGAAACCAUAAGAUAUGCGCCGCAUAUGAUAUCUCCUAUAUUUACAUAGGCGCCGCAUAUGAUAUCGCCUAUAUUUACAUAGGCGCCGAAUAUGUUAUCGCCUAUAUUUACAUAGGCGCUGCAUAUGCUAUCUUAUAUGCUUUCCAGUGGCCAUGUGCGAUUGGUUAGGCGACACAUUCUACUUUGAAAGGCCAUAACUUCUUG